GGGUCUGGCUGGCCGGUCCGCCUCACCGCGAGUACUGGUCCGGCUGGACCUUUCCUUCUGGGGAACCUCAUGGCCUUCACUGGCUGUGGGGGGAACCACGACUUUUACUGUGAAAAAAUUAGAGUGUUCAAAGCAGGCCUUUGCUCGAAUACAUUAGCAUGGAAUAAUAGAAUAGGACGUGUGGUUCUAUUUUGUUGGUUUCUAGGACCCCCCGUAAUGAUUAAUAGGGAUAGUCGGGGGCGUCAGUAUUCAGCUGUCAGAGGUGAAAUUCUUGGAUUUGCUGAAGACUAACUACUGCGAAAGCAUUCGCCAACGAUGUUCGCAUAACUCCCGCAACGAAAGUUAGGGGAUCGAAGACGAUCCGAUACCGUCGUAGUCUUAACCAUAAACUAUGCCCGACUAGGGAUCGGACGGGAU
rnacentral:rRNA from 1 species